rnacentral:rRNA from 1 species
UCUAUAAGCCGCUUAAAAAUUACCCUCUAACCGAAGAGUGUUAGAUAGCGUCGAAGGACAAGAAGACCCUAUAGAGCUUAAUUUAAAUAAAUAUAAAAAAUUUACUAAAAUUCGGUUGGGGCGACCAGGGAACUACACAUCAUCCCUAAAUAAAAGAUAAAUAUAUCAAAAUACUGACCCUUAUACAAGAUCACUAAAACAAGCUACCUUAGGGAUAACAGGCUAAUCUCACUGGAGAGUCCUUAUCAAUAGUGAGGAUUGGCACCUCGAUGUUGGCUUAGGGAAUCUCUAUGACGCAAAAGUCAUAUAAAGAUGGUUUGUUCAACCAAUAACACCCUACAUGAGCUGAGUUCAGACCGGCGUAAGCCAGGUUAGUUUCUAUCCUCGAUCACUCUAUCUAUUUAUAGUACGAAAGGACCUAACUAGAGUAAUAUUUAUACACAGGGAAUAAAUAUAAACCAGUAAUAAGUAAAAUAUAUCUUAAACUAUGAGUAAGUUGGCAGAAUAGUGCCACC